CAGUCAGUCUACCACGGACAUUUUGAGGAGAACGACGCAACUGAACACAGAAUGAAGACAGUUUUUCUCGUGCUUGCUCUGGUCCUCUCGGCAGCCGCCUACCCAAAACACAGAUGUCCAAUCGGCUUGCCCUUCUGCGGGCUGGGUGUGAUGCCGAUUAAAACAAUUGGACCGAAUGGCUGUCCAAAUUUUCAUUGUCCGGACACGCGCUGCCCGUUGAAUAUGAUCUACUGCGGACCUGAGAUAAUGCCAGUCAGUAAGAAAUUGGCCAAUGGUUGCCCGGAAUUCAGCUGCCCGAACGAAUAUUAGGAAUGCAGUGUCAGGGAAUGCAAAGUUGAAUGACCGAUCCACCAAGAAAACAACCGAGGCAAACUUUAUUUCAGCAUCUGCCAUCUUUCUGAUAUACCCUGUAUCUAUCAAUAAAAACAACUAAA